rnacentral:snRNA from 1 species
AUGCUUGCUGUGACAGCACAUACACUAAAACUGGAACAAUACAAGGACUAUCGGCAUUUCCCUUGCACAAGGAUGUGAAGCAUUCCAUAUUUGG